rnacentral:rRNA from 1 species
UACGGGAGGCAGCAGUGGGGAAUAUUGCACAAUGGGCGCAAGCCUGAUGCAGCCAUGCCGCGUGUAUGAAGAAGGCCUUCGGGUUGUAAAGUACUUUCAGUCGUGAGGAAGGUGUUAAGGUUAAUAACCUUAGCAAUUGACGUUAGCGACAGAAGAAGCACCGGCUAACUCCGUGCCAGCAGCCGCGGUAAUACGGAGGGUGCGAGCGUUAAUCGGAAUUACUGGGCGUAAAGGGCACGCAGGCGGUUAAUUAAGUUGGAUGUGAAAUCCCCGGGCUUAACCUGGGAAUGGCAUUCAAGACUGGUUAGCUAGAGUCUUGUAGAGGGGGUAGAAUUCCAUGUGUAGCGGUGAAAUGCGUAGAGAUGUGGAGGAAUACCGGGUGGCGAAGGCGGCCCCUGGGACAAAGGACUGACGCUCAUGUGCGAAAGCGUGGGGAGCGAAACAGGGAUUAGAU